GGGUGCUUGCACCUGGUGGCGAGUGGCGAACGGGUGAGUAAUACCUAGGAACAUGUCCAGUAGUGGGGGAUAACGCAGCGAAAGCUGUGCUAAUACCGCAUACGCCCUACGGGGGAAAGCGGGGGAUUCGCAAGGACCUCGCGUUAUUGGAGUGGCCUAGGCCUGAUUAGCUAGUUGGUGAGGUAAAGGCUCACCAAGGCGACGAUCAGUAGCUGGUCUGAGAGGAUGAUCAGCCACACUGGAACUGAGACACGGUCCAGACUCCUACGGGAGGCAGCAGUGGGGAAUUUUGGACAAUGGGGGAAACCCUGAUCCAGCCAUUCCGCGUGAGUGAAGAAGGCCUUCGGGUUGUAAAGCUCUUUCAGCAGGGAAGAAACGGUUGCAGCUAAUACCUGCGACUAAUGACGGUACCUGAAGAAGAAGCACCGGCUAACUACGUGCCAGCAGCCGCGGUAAUACGUAGGGUGCGAGCGUUAAUCGGAAUUACUGGGCGUAAAGCGUGCGCAGGCGGUUUUGCAAGUCAGAUGUGAAAGCCCCGGGCUCAACCUGGGAACUGCGUUUGAAACUGC
rnacentral:rRNA from 1 species